UGCUUAUAGGAACUUCUCGUCCAGGGUAGGAGGCAGAUGUUUAAAGAAAUACCAGCCUGUGGCAUGAUGAGUGCCACUAGCAAUUCAUGCAAGGCUUUACAGGAAGGAAAAUGCAGAAAUCACUGCUGAUUCCCUCCCUGAACCCCCACCAUCUCCUGGUGACCAGAGUGUCCACAUGGAUGACCCUCAUGUGCCAGCCCCUCAUUUCCUUGUCCACUCCUGUCUGUUGGCUCUUUCCCCUGAUCCCACUGCCCUGGAGCCCAUCCCUCCAAAAUCCAAGCUGGUCUCCCCUCUGGGAUGCAGCCUAGCAGGCAGAGCCUCCCACCCAUCCCUUCAACGUGAGUGGACCCUGCCCUCCACUCUCCCCAGUCUCUCUCUGCCCCUGUGACUUCAUGAGAAGCCACUUUAUCUGCUUUUUGGCAGUGGUUUCUGUUGGUCCCCUGAUCUGGCAUGACAAGUAUGGGCUAUGUCUCUAUGACACCUGUGACAUGGGUUUGCCCCAGGUGUCCCAUAGCCUCUAUCCAGAGCCCAGCCCUCCUUCUUCCACAGGGGCCUCUCCAGGCCUUCAUGCUGCACUCUCCCCAGACCUAGUCCUUCCCUCCUGCUCACCUCCUUCACUGGAGAUAGAGUCCCCAGGGGGUGAAGUGGGGCCAGGGGCUCCUCCGUGACUCCCUGCCCAAGUGCAGAUGUCCCUAGUGGGCUUUCUCUACAGGCUGGCAUAAUGACAUCACAGACAACCCGAAACAGCCCCCAGUGGUGACACUGAUACAAGCCUGAACCCUUGUCAGGGCUGUGGCUGUGGAGGUAAGGAAGGGGUGGCUGCCCAGCCAGCUGCUCUCCCAGGCCCUCUGUCCAUGGCAAGUGGCAGGAGGCUGCAAUAGGAGAUUACCCCUUCCCCCUCCAGGCAAGCUCCCUUGGGUCAUCUGUGGGUGCCUUUCCCCAGAGGCCUCUGGUUGGUUCCUCCUCUUUCUUUCUGGACUCUCCUCCCACCUAGGCCUCAGCAGUAUUUCCCAAACUUCUUUAAUCCAUUCCAGAAUUGGUCUUGUAUGAAGAAGAGAUCCUGGACCCUGGGAACUCUCCAGGGAAGGUGACCAUAGAGGCCUAUUCUUGGCUACGAGGCAAACUUCUGCCUGAACAUGACCUUGCCCAUCCUCCAGCUAAGAGAGGCUUGGACUCACGGCUGCAACCACCGCCACAUCACAGGCCCUCCACUCAGAGAGCCUGGGCAGGCUUCCAUCUUUCUUUUCGCUGCCAAAGUCAGUGCUGGCCAACACAGGAAACUUUUUAAUGGUGUGGACCAAGUCAAACAUAUCUGCAGACCAGUUUUAGGCUAAGGAGCAGAGGGAGCAGUUAAAGGCUGGGCAGGUGACCAAGAGUCUGGAAGGAACGGCCAGAGAGGUCAUAAAUGCUCAUGGGACACGGCCACCUCCCCAGCAGACUGGGAGCUUCCUGAAAGAAGGGGCUGCCUUGAGGGCGUGGUGGGUCCUGGAGCUGCACCAGCAGGAGCUCAAGAAAUGGGUGGGUGAGUGGAGGUCAAUCUGCUCUGCCUCCAGGCCUGAGGUGCAGGGUGGAUGGGGUGCCGAGUUUCUGCUGUGUACCUGUCACCCAAGUGCACUCCUGUAACCACAUCUCCAGGGCUGAGUUAACGGGGACGAGGUGCUUGUCCCAGACCAGAGCUUAAUGUCUAAAGACGAAUCUAAGCUGAUGUCUGUGUCUCGUUCUGGAGAAUAUAUUUCAUGAGGAUUUUACUUUCUUCAGAGGAAAUCGUUUUGAAGCAAACACCGGAAGGUUACAAUUUGUAGAAGCAGGUGUGUCUACUCAGACCACAGCUGUUUGGCCAGGAGCCAUGGGAAACAGCUCCUUUGCAGACAGCUCUGUGCUGCAACUUGGUUUAAUCUGGGAAAGGCACGCCCUCCGCUUGUGGGCAUUGGGAUC